AUAAUAAUAAUAAUAAUAGAUUUAUUGCCAUCAAUAAAUAAUACAUGGCGCGUCAUAUAAUUAUGUACAUGUAAGUGUAUAUGGGACAAUACAUACAUUUAUUUUAAAUCUGGAGGGUUAUCCAGGAACUCUUGGAUAGAAUAAUAACUCAUUUCUAAUAGUGCGUCCUUUACCUUCUUCUCAAACAGAGCCGGAGCUAGUCUCUUCAUCGGGUCCUGAAGCUUGUUAUAAAGCUUCGGGCCCCAAUGGUCAAUGCUGUGCUGUGACACUUUAAGCCGAUGGUACGGUGUUGAGAGCGCGUCAGCGUGUCUUGUGUUAUGCUCGUGAUAUGAGCCAUUCUUGAUGAACUCGUGGAGGUGGUUGUGGACGUACCUCAGACAGCUCAAUAUGUACGCGGAAUGGAUGGUAAGAAUUUGUUGUUGUUUGAAGGCUGGGCGGCAGCUUUCCCGAUAGUUCAUUUGGCACAGGAUUCUGAUUGCUUUCUUUUGCAGGACGAAGAUCUUGUCAGCAUCUGAUGAAGUACCCCAUAGAAGUAUACCAUAGGUGGCUUUGCUGUGGAAGUUAGCAAAGUAUGUCACCCUUGCAGCUUGGGGAGUUGAGAUAUUCUUGAUUCUUCUGAUACUGAAUAAAGCUGAUGCUAGGUUUUUGCAGGUUUCCUGAAUGUGGUCCUUCCAAGAUGCUUUGCUAUUUAGGUAAAAUCCCAAGAAUUUUACCGAUGUGACGUUGGUGGGUUUUGAAGAUAUAAAUAGUUCCUGAGUCUUGUCUCCAUUGAGUUUCAGUUUAUUUGCUGUGAACCAUUCAUUGGCAUCUUCAAGGAUUUUUCUCAUUUUUGGUUUUAGCGUAUCCUCUGUUUCUUCUUUGAUGCAGAAGGAAGUGUCGUCCGCAUAUAGACACUGUCCAUCCACUCUCAUAUUGAUAGGCAAGUCAUUUACAUAGAUUAUAAAUAGCAGUGGACCGAGGAUUGAUCCCUGGGGCACUCCACACCUUGUUGGCAGAGGCUUUGACCAUUUUUCAUUCCAUUUUACUAUCUGGGUUCUAUUUUCAAGGGAAGAAUUUGUCAAAGGCAGCUGUCAGAGUUGUAUGGAAGACAGUGUAGGCCUCUUUUGCAUUACGGUGUUUGAAGACACGAGCCCACUCAAUUCCGGUUAAGUACUCCUUAAAGUAGUUCUUGCACUGGGUUCUUAAUCUUCAGGACUUGACAGUAGUGAUCAGACAUGCACCAACUUUUUGUCUCUUUUGAGAAGAUUUCUUCUAUGUUAAUAUUUGAAAAUAUAUUAUCUAUGCAGCUAGAAGAAGUUUCAGUUGUUCUAGAUGCCUCUCUCAUUAGUGGUUGCAUACCAUAUGUUGUGAAAGUUUCGAUUAAUAAAGAUUGUUCGACGCCA